rnacentral:misc_RNA from 1 species
CCAAACUUGGUCAUUUAGAGGAAGUAAAAGUCGUAACAAGGUCUCCGUUGGUGAACCAGCGGAGGGAUCAUUACCGAGUUUAACACACUCCCAAACCCCUGUGAACAUACCGUUACCGUUGCUUCGGCGGACCAAGCCCUCCCACCGCGGGGGGCCCGCCAGAGGACCCAAAAUUCAAAUUUGCAUCAGUGUAAGCGCGACGACGCAUUCUGAGUGGAUUGUAACAAAUCAAAAAUUAAAACUUUCAACAACGGAUCUCUUGGCUCUGGCAUCGAUGAAGAACGCAGC